UACGUAGGGUGCAAGCGUUGUCCGGAAUUACUGGGCGUAAAGAGCUCGUAGGUGGUUUGUCGCGUUGUUCGUGAAAACUCACAGCUCAGCUGUGGGCGUGCGGGCGAUACGGGCAGACUUGAGUACUGCAGGGGAGACUGGAAUUCCUGGUGUAGCGGUGGAAUGCGCAGAUAUCAGGAGGAACACCGGUGGCGAAGGCGGGUCUCUGGGCAGUAACUGACGCUGAGGAGCGAAAGCGUGGGGAGCGAACAGG
rnacentral:rRNA from 1 species